GAAGAGCACAAUGCCUCAUUCUUGGCAGGGUUGCUGGCGACCACUCCCAUCUGCAGAGUUGAUCAAAGUGUUCCCACUUCUUUCCUUAUUGAAUGAGAUCUUCACAAGGACUGAGAGGUAUCCAUUAAGGAUGGCUCCAAUGAGGAAGAAGCAAUAUUUGGAAGUCUGUGCAGCCCAUGAUAUGGGGGAAGCAGUGUCGUAGCCAACAGUCUGUCUGGAUUAAGAAUGGACAGAAAUUCCAAAUUAUUAAUGUGAUGUCACUGAACAUGGAGUUGGGAGGACAUGUGUAUGAUCAGCUCUUAUGAGCCAGCAUGAGCCAACUCCGGCACACCGCUGAUGAGCCUUACACUUCAUGCUCCAGAGUCUCUGGAAUGGUGUUCAAUGAGUUUAUUACUCCUGCUCUGUACUCAAGUACCCUGAGUUCCAUCAAUCAUUAAUAUGUCCUAGGUGCUGUGCAACACAAAAGAUGCUCCAUGUGACUCGAUUUCUGCUUUUUAGUUGGGAUAUUAUCAGAUAACUACGCUGAGAGGUAGGGAUUGGUAUGUGCUUUA